UCCAACUUCCUUCUCGUUUCUCUCUCUCUCUUUCAAUCUCUUCCCCUUGGCCGGGCCCCCCCUCCGCCGGGGCCUCCCCCUCCGCCUCCGCCGCCGCCGUCCGCCGUCCGCCCAUCUCUCCGCCGCUGCUCUCCACCGUCAGCCCAUCUCUCCGCCGCUGCUCUCCACCGUCAGCCCAUCUCUCCGCCGCUGCUCUCCGCCGUUCGCCCAUCUCUCCGCCGUCCGCCGCUACUCUCCGGCGUCAAUAGCUAGCCCUAAUUUCCUCCUCUCUAUCUAGCCCUCGAUCAACAACAACAAAAAGAGAAUAGAGGUCUGGAUUACAGUUGCGUACUACUGAAAGCAAUUGAUCGAUUUUAGGGUUCUUCCUUCGGGCUGCCAUUCCCAAAACUACUGUCAAAUCGAAUUGCAGAUAUGGGUGUGUUCGAGCUGCGGUUGGUAAUAAUGGUGGUAACGCUCUUGUUAAUAGUUCCAAGCAUGUAUGGUUGGGGAAAACAAGGCCACAUUAUAACUUGCAAGAUUGCUGAGAAUUUUCUCACUAAAGAUGCUUUAGCUUCAGUGAAAGCAUUACUUCCAGGCAGUGCUGAAGGUGAACUUGCUUCUGUUUGCUCGUGGCCAGACGAGAUUCGUCGGAGUGCGCAUAAUCGGUGGAGUGGUCCUUUACAUUACAUAGAUACACCUGACUUCAGAUUGUUUUGAUCGCUUUUCCAGAGGAAGAAUUAUCGUCUAUGUCAGUCGAGGAAUUUAUGCCACUAUAAUUGUGCCUAUGCAGCUUUACCACCGUAGUUUUGGUACCAGUUGUACCUUUACGCUUUCUGACUUUUACUUAUGCUAUAGGAGAUUGCCAUGACUCUGUUGGUCGUAAAUAUAGGUGUGUCACUGGAGCAAUUUACAACUACACAAUGCAGCUUAUGACAGAGAGUCGUGAUACCGAUUUCUCAGUAAUGAAGUGCUGAUUUGGAACGAGUGUACGAUGAGACAAUGCAUGAUGGAAGUGACGAAAGCACGGCCAACUCAACUGCGAUAAAAAAAGUGCUCGGAAAAAGCAAAGGGCUUGGAAUUAAGAUUGCAACCACCACAAAGAGUUCAAAGUCGAGAUUUUCUUCAAUUCCACCGGAAGUGCAACUGGAAAUGAAUUCAAUGAAAGAGCAAAUGCAACUUAAAGAUGAAAAAAUGGAAAGAUUGGAAGCGGAAUUGAAAGAAACCCGAAAAAUUGUGAACACCUUGGUCGGCCGUUUUGGACUACAAGCCUCGACAUCGACUCCUUCCAAUGAUGGUGGAGUAUAAAAAGGGAUGAACUUUGUUUGGUUUUUGAAUUAAAGUUUGAAACACUACAUUAUAUGCUUUUAAGUUUGUAUGUACUUUUUUAAUUUAUGCUUUGUGCUACCUUGAUAUUU